rnacentral:rRNA from 1 species
AGUGAACGCUGGCGGUAGGCCUAACACAUGCAAGUCGAACGGCAGCACAGUAAGAGCUUGCUCUUACGGGUGGCGAGUGGCGGACGGGUGAGGAAUACAUCGGAAUCUACUUUUUCGUGGGGGAUAACGUAGGGAAACUUACGCUAAUACCGCAUACGACCUACGGGUGAAAGCAGGGGAUCUUCGGACCUUGCGCGAUUGAAUGAGCCGAUGUCGGAUUAGCUAGUUGGCGGGGUAAAGGCCCACCAAGGCGACGAUCCGUAGCUGGUCUGAGAGGAUGUACGGCAACACUGGAACGUGGACAGGGCCGAGCCUCCUAGGGGAGGCAGCGGGGGGGAAUGUUGGACAAGGGGGGCAAGCCGGAUCCACCAUUCCGGGGGGGGUAAAAAAGGCCUUCGGUUGUUAAAGCCCUUUUUUGGGGAAAAAAAAGCAGCGGGUUAAUCCCCCGCUUUUCUGAGGUUACCAAAAAAAAAAGCCCCGGCUAACUUCGUG